rnacentral:rRNA from 1 species
UAUGUAGGUGGCCCUGUAAGUCGAGUGUGAAAUCCUUUGGCUCAACCAAAGAACUGCAUUCGAAACUGCAAGGCUUGAGUUUGGGAGAGGAGAGUGGAAUUCCCGGUGUAAGAGUGAAAUCUGUAGAUAUCGGGAGGAACACCAGUGGCGAAAGCGACUCUCUGGCCCAAAACUGACACUGAAAUACGAAAGCUAGGGGAGCAAACAGGAUUAGAUACCCUGGUAGUCC